CCGAGUCAUCUUCGGACAUUGGCGAGUCGACUCCAGGGUUGGCCGAGUCGACUCCAGAACGGGACAGCACUUUAAUUCAAAUUCUGACCAGUGGGCGAGUCGUCUCCAGUAAAGUAUGAGUCGACUCCAGCAACAGCCGAGUCGACUCCAGAUCGAGCGAGUCGACUCCGAUCCCAACGGAUAUACUGUCAGGAGUUGCAGAUUGUGCAGAACAGCCAUAAAGUGGUGUCUAACGGCUAGUUUUCAAAGUGGACUGCUUAAAU
rnacentral:lncRNA from 1 species